rnacentral:tRNA from 1 species
GCCUAGUUAGCUUGGUUGGUAGCGCGUCUGCCUGGUGAGCGCUAGGUCGCGGGUUCGAUUCCCGCCUGAGGCG